rnacentral:lncRNA from 1 species
GGCUAAAAUAAAUGUAAACAUAUACAAAGUAUUAAACUUUUUUGUCAAAGAUUAAAUGUUUUUUCAAUACAAGGGCAUAUUUUCUAGCUAUGUAUUGAGGAAAUAAAUGAAACCUGAUUCUAACUAAUCAGAUAUACAGCAUUAUGUAGACAUGACAUAACACUCAUCUCAGUAGGGUUAAUUCUUCUGUAAUAUUUAAUUAUUUUAACUCCUGAA